CAGCAGCCGCGGGAAUACGUAGGGUGCAAGCGUUAAUCGGAAUUACUGGGCGUAAAGCGUGCGCAGGCGGUCCGCUAAGACAGAUGUGAAAUCCCCGGGCUUAACCUGGGAACUGCAUUUGUGACUGGCGGGCUAGAGUAUGGCAGAGGGGGGUAGAAUUCCACGUGUAGCAGUGAAAUGCGUAGAGAUGUGGAGGAAUACCGAUGGCGAAGGCAGCCCCCUGGGCCAAUACUGACGCUCAUGCACGAAAGCGUGGGGAGCAAACAGGAUUAGAUACCCCUGUAGUCCCUGUCUCUUAUAC
rnacentral:rRNA from 1 species